ACCGGAUAGGACGAAAGUUUAAAGGUGCUUCGGCACCACUGAUGGAUGAGCCUGCGGCGCAUUAGCUAGUUGGUAGGGUAAAGGCCUACCAAGGCGACGAUGCGUAGCCGACCUGAGAGGGUGAACGGCCACACUGGGACUGAGACACGGCCCAGACUCCUACGGGAGGCAGCAGUAGGGAAUCUUCGGCAAUGGGCGAAAGCCUGACCGAGCAACGCCGCGUGAAUGAUGAAGGCCUUCGGGUUGUAAAAUUCUGUUAUAAGGGAAGAAUGGCUCUAGUAGGAAAUGGCUAGAGUGUGACGGUACCUUAUGAGAAAGCCACGGCUAACUACGUGCCAGCAGCCGCGGUAAUACGUAGGUGGCGAGCGUUAUCCGGAAUUAUUGGGCGUAAAGAGCGCGCAGGUGGUUGAUUAAGUCUGAUGUGAAAGCCCACGGCUUAACCGUGGAGGGUCAUUGGAAACUGGUCAACUUGAGUGCAGAAGAGGGAAGUGGAAUUCCAUGUGUAGCGGUGAAAUGCGUAGAGAUAUGGAGGAACACCAGUGGCGAAGGC
rnacentral:rRNA from 1 species